GUCUCAGGCCGUAUCAGCCUGAAGGCGCCUGAUCUCGUCUGAUCUCGGACGCUAAGCAGGGUCGGGCCUGGUUAGGAUCUUGGAUGGGAGACCACCUGGGAAUCCCGGGUGCUCGAGGCU
rnacentral:rRNA from 1 species